UGGCUCUCGCAUCGAUGAAGAACGCAGCGAAAUGCGAUAAGUAAUGUGAAUUGCAGAAUUCAGUGAAUCAUCGAAUCUUUGAACGCAACUUGCGCCCCUUGGUAUUCCGAGGGGCACGCCUGUUUGAGUGUCGUGAAUUCCUCCACCCACCAUCCUUCUGUGUUGGUUGGGCUGGGACUUGGGGGCUUUUUGUGGGUCCAGAUUCUUCUGGUUCCGCUCCCCUUGAAUGCAUGAGUGAAGACCCAUGCGGUCCUCGGUGUGAUAGAUAUCUACGCCAUGGAUCUGUGUGGAUGGUGCUUUGCUUCGAACUGUCUCCUAGUCUGAGACGAAUCACAUUGAACACUUGACCUCAAAUCAGGCGGGACUACCCGCUGA
rnacentral:misc_RNA from 1 species